rnacentral:pre_miRNA from 2 species
UCUUAUGAAUGAGCAAAUAAAAGUGGUUUCUUGAGAUGGAAUCUACUCCUGAUGAAGAUGCUGUGAA